rnacentral:tRNA from 1 species
GGAGGCUUAGCUCAGUUGGUAGAAGCGCCAGGUUGAAGCCCUGGAUGCGGAGGUUCGAUUCCUCCAGCCUUCACCA